AAUAAAAUAACAAAUAAAACUAUAAAAAACUAAACAAAUAAUAUAAAUUAUAAAAUAUAUAAAAUUAACAUUAAUAAUUAGGCAAAUUACAGAAAAAAAACAUAAUUAUAAAUAAUUACACAAUUUCUCUAUCCUAUCAACCAAAUCAACCCCUGAACCCCCAGGGGUCUCGAAGAAUCCAUACACCUCCUCCACUGCCGCCUCCGAAUCACCAUCCCACCCACCAACAACACAAAUCACCACACAAAAAUCUUAUUCCCCAGCCCCACCAAAAUUGGCUUCUGGGAAUUCAAAAUAUAACCACAGAAGAAGCCAGACACAGAAUUUCAGCAAUUGAGAGAAAAGCAUCAAAAUCAAAAUUGUCUAUAGCGUCAUCUUCUUGUUCAUUAUCUAUGAUUCUACUAUGCGAUUAAAAAGAUCUGAUGGGGACACGACGGGUAUAAAAAGAUUUGUUUGAAGAGCGGGAUUUGGGGAUUUGGAGACACGGGGUGUUUGUGAGUAGGGUGGAGAGGGAGAGGGAAAAGAAAGAAGGGUUCUUAAAUAUUAAUUGGGGUUUAUGGACUGAAAGGAGACUAGGGGGUGGGAAUUUGUGAGGGAGUGGUUUUGAGAAGUGGGUGACAUUAUGGGGUUACUGGGAAGGCUUUAAAAGAGUCCAUUGCUGUCGGACUGUGCUCCGAUUGUGGACCUUGUAAGUCGGCGCUGAGGGCGAGGAGCAUGUGGGGUGCCGAGGCAGGGUAGUAUAAAGAGGAGAUCGGUGGUGGUGUGCAGCGUGGUUCACUCCUUGUUGGACAAAGGAUGAAAAAUCAAGCAUGGGUGAUGUGGUGGUGAUGAUGAACUAGUGUGAUGGAGGAAGAUGAAAUUUCUAGAUCUGAUCGGUUUGGUUUUAUUUUUGUUUAAAUUUAGUUUAAGUUAAUAUAAAAUGUUAUAUUACUCUUUUAUCCUUUAAAAUCAAUAAAAUAAUUUAAAAAUUAGCCACUGUAUUGCCACAUCAACAAUUUUUGACAUGACAUGCUCAAUUGAAUAGAAUUAGAAAAAAUUAAUAAUUCAAUCAUCUAAUUGACAAAAUUGAAAGGUGAAUCACCGAAGUAGAAUAUGACAUAUAGUUUAUGAUAGUAAUUUAUAUUUAAGCUAUUAUUAGAAGGGCUCCACUUAUUACACAUCACCCUAAAAAUUUAUCAUUAAUACUUGUCCACAAUCAAAAAUUCAAGGUAAACAUUCGUAAUAUAUAUAAUUUUUCUUAUAUAUCAUGUAUUCAACACAUAAAAAGACUUAUUUAAUUAUAAAUAAGAGCUCAAUCUUACUUAUGUGCAAUAGAAAUAGAGAAUUGAUAUUUUCAUAAAUAAAUUUGGUAGUUUUAUAAGAUACUCUCUCACAUGAGGUGAACUCUAUUUAUUUAAUUUUUGAUAAUGUGAAGUAUCCGACCCGCAUGCCGAUUAAUCUCCCUAGCCCAGGCCAGUGAGAAGAAACUUAUAGAAUUUUUAAAUUUAUUUACUAUUCAUGUGAGAAGAGAAGAAACUUAUAGAAUUAUCAAAUUUAUUUAUAAAAAUAUCAAUUCUCCAUAAAUGAUAUAUAUAUACUCCUUAUUACGAAUGAUGUAUGUACAUAGGUGUAUUAAAUCCAGAAAUAAGUGCUUGAUGAAGAAUGGUAUGAUUAUAAUUCCACAAGUAGCGUGUAUAUAUCCUUGCCUCCUUAGAACCCUUGUGCUUCCUCUGCCAGUGUUUACCAAGACAUUCCAAAACUGAUAAAUAACUUCAAAAUUUUUAAAAUGCAACCUAGUAGCAAAAGUUAAAUUUUCUUAGAUUUUCAAAAGUAAAAUUAUUACAAAAAAAGUAGCAAAACUAAAAUUUGAAAAUCUUAAAGUAGAAAUAAUAAAAUGAUUUAUAAUAAAUAAUACUUGUAAAUAAAAAUUUAACUAUAAUGAUAUAUAAAAAAAAAUUCUGUCAAAUACAACAAUUAAAUAUGAUAGAAACUAAAAGAAAUUACCGAAAAAUAUACAUCAUAUAAACGUAAAAUGAUUUAUAAAAAAAGUUUUAAAAAAUUUAAAUUAUCAAUAGUUUGGUAAAUUAUUUUUUUAAAAAAUAAAUAAAAUUUAAGGGAAGAAAAGAUUUGGACCAAACAGGCUAUCAAAGUCAUACUCGGCCCGUCGGUCAUGGGCUUUCUCGUGUAAUGGAGUAGUAUAUAGUUGUGGAUGCCUGAAAAUAGUUUGAAAUUUGUUUCAUUUCAGAGAGCAUAACAUAAUAGCUAAAUAUUAGACAAAUUCUAUUUCUUAAAGCUAUAUUCUAUCAAACCCCGAUAAAAAAGAAUAUUAAGAAUUUUAACUUUUCUUUUAAUAUGAAAAUUUGUAGACAACGCACUAAGACAUCACUAUUUUAGCAUUAUGUUUCUUCUUUAUAAUAAGUUCAUANNNNNNNNNNNNNNNNNNNNNNNNNNNNNNNNNNNNNNNNNNNNNNNNNNNNNNNNNNNNNNNNNNNNNNNNNNNNNNNNNNNNNNNNNNNNNNNNNNNNAAAAAAAAAAAAAAAAAAAAAAAAAAAAAAAAAAAAAAAAAAAAAAAAAAAAAAAAAAAAAAAAAAGUCUACAUAUAAAGUUUCCUACUUGCAAUUCCUAGAAUUUGGAAUUAGUUUGUUACUUUGACGCACAUUAAAAAUCAACCAUACUCUAUACCAAAAACAAAAAUGACCCGUUUUUGUGUUCUAGGGAGAUACAUCUACACGAAACUUUAAAUGAUAUAUAUGCACUAACAUGUACAAAAUUUAUAUGAAAUCAAUCUUUACCUAACAAAUAUAUAAAUUAGAAGAGAGAUCAUUUCCUCUUUGGUACAGGGGUACCUUUCUUGGUACUCUUCGGGGCCUUCUUGCUAAGUCUACUUUCACUACACUUGGGGCAAAACCAGUCUUCCUCGGGUACAUCUGCCAAAGGAGGAUCACAGCAAUCAAUAUGCAUGCCAAUGCCACAACCAAUACAACCACUUUCAUCACUGCAUAUUAGCAUUUCCUCUCCUCUAUCAUAUGACCCGCAGACUUGACAUGGUAGAUCAUCACUAUCACUACAAUCAUUUGGUGGCGUCACUAACUCAUGACAUGGUAAAUCACUACCACCAUCAUCAUUCGGUGGUGUCAUUCGUCCAACAACCUCUUUAGAUUGCUUCACUAGCUUCUUAAAUGCUUUUUCCGCCCAAACAUGAGUGUUAUAUUGAACAUGUCUCUCAAGUGAGUAUCCAGGUUUGCAGACAAACUCAACCAAGUAAUCGGCUACGACACAGGGUAUCUCAUGCCUUAAAAACUCUUGGACCCACAUGUCAACACGUGGCAUACCAGGACUGACAACUGCAAAAUCAACUCCCGAAUCUAAGAACCGAGUAUACGGGGGAGAAGUAGCUAAUAUCCUCCCAUCUCCAGCCUUUACAACACGCUUAAGAGUAUCCUGUAUGACAAAAAUAUAUACUGUUACCAAAAAUACGGAUAUAAAAUACAUACUAUAAAGCAACUAAAUUAGAUGGCCUUCAACAUUCCAGCCAGAAAAUCAAUAACAUGCCACUGAAGAAAUUUCUUUAAGCUUUCUAUUUAUAAAGUAAUAUAUAUGUCCCAGAAUAAGCAUAAGAAUGAAAAGACUCGAGGAAUAUCAAACUGAAGAGCAUACCAAAGAAGGGGAAAUGCAUUCCCCAUAUAUGAUAAUGCUCAUUUUGUAAAAGGCACCAUGACCAGUUCUUUCCCUCUGAAGGCGCCACUUUCUAGGAGCCUCUAAGUUAAUAGCACCAUCUUCACUUAGGCCACUCUUGUACCAUUCAUAAGGCUCCUCUGCCAAGAAUUUUCCUACCCGAUUGCUAUCACUUAGAUAAUUAGUCUUCAGAAUCCACCUGUAAGAGGACGAAAAUUAAUUUAAACCUUAUGAGAAUAAAAGACAGCUAACGUUUGAUAUCCUUGCCACAUUGGAUAAACAAUCGAAAUGAGAAAGCCAAAAUAGUCAAUCAGAUGAGGAAUAUACCUUCCAGAUGCAGCAGCAGCAAAAAACUUUUCUAUUCUGCGAACUGGAUCAGGGACAAUAAAAUGUGUUGCCUGAUAUGACCACUGGUGAGAAACAUUGCAUACUUUCCCUUUCAACCGCCUUAUUACCUGCUGAAAUUCCUUUCUCUGCAGCUUAUGCCCACUCAGUAUAAACCAUACAGGUUCAGGUUUUGGGGUUGUUUGCACUUGCACUUUAUCCAGAUUUGACUUGCUGGCCUCUGUAUCAAUUUUUUUAGAUGCUUUAGAAGCCAAUUUUCCCACCCGCUUUUUACCAUGAUUCACACUUUGAUCUACAGCACAUAUUGCCAUAUUUUCCUUCUCCACUUCCACUGAUUGAGUCAAGUUAUUUAAAGAUCGAGUCCUCUUUGUUUUACCUGCCGGAUGUGGAGUGCUACCCUCAUUCUUCUGACUUUCAGACUCCUCAAUGGCAGCUAUCUUAGUAACAGAAAGACCCGUUCCUUUCCUGAUUUUACUUAAUGGGUGUUUCCCCCCUGCAUUUUUCUUCUCUUUUACCACAUCCUCCAUACGCGUAGACUGUCCCAGCUUUCUCUUACCGCAAGUAGUCUUUUUCUGUUUAGUGCCAUCUUUGUCUGCAACAGAUGUUUUAUGAGUAUGCACGCCCAAUGCAUUACAGUCAGUUUUGUAUGUUUGCACUUCUGAUUUAUCUUCUGCUCCUACAUUUCCUACAAUAUCUGGUUCAACUUCUCCAUACUUCUCUUCACAAAGUGCCCCCGGAACCUCAUUUUCCUCCUUGCCCUCUAGAACCUCAGAAGGAAUAGUUGUUUUAUUAAUUUUACUUGGAGGGUGUUUUCCCACCAUACUUAUGUUCUCCUUCACCACUUUCUCCAUAUGGGGUGAUUCCCCCAGCUUUCUCUUACCACAAGUGGACUUUGUCUGUUUACUGCCAUCUUUUUCUUCAGCAGACGCUUUAUGACUAUGUACUCCCAAUGCCUUUUCUACACCAAUAAUUUCUGCUUCAACUACGCUAUAGUUCUCUUCACUAACUACCUCAGGAACCUCCUUGGUCUUUGGAACUUUAGAAGGUACAGUUGUUUUAUUGAUUUUACUUACGGGGCGCUUUUUCCCUCCACUUAUGUUCUCCUUCGCCACUUUCUGCAUAUGGGUUGAUUCACCCAGCUUUGCCUUACCACAAGUGUCCUUUUGCUGCUUAGUUCCAUCUUUAUCUUUUCCAACUGUUGUGUUAUGACUAUGCACUCCCAAUGUGUUACCAUCAGUUUCAUUAGUCUGCAGGUCCUCUGAUUUAUCAUCUUCCCCUAUAAUGUCAGGUUCAUCUUCUCCAUACUUCUCUUCACUAACUGCUUCCCUAACCACAUUUUGCUCAUUGUCUUCUGGAGCCUCAGUUUCAUCAUCCGUUGACAUAGAGUGCUGCUGAAUUUUGUUUCUAGAUUGUGAAACACCAUUUGUUAGUGCCACCAAGACUGUAUGAUUAACUGUUGGAGGGACCAUCACAAGCUUCUCAUGCCCUGCAAUUGAAUUAAUUGCAGGAUCAUCUUCUGAAACACUUUUAUCCAAGUAAAUAGAACCUUUCAGAUUUGUUGUAUUACUCUUACUCCAAGACUUUCUACCAAACAUCUUCCUCGUAGGUGGUUUCAGAUAUGCAUCAGCAUGCAAGCUCUGGUUAGGAGUAUCGUUGGAUUUCUCAAUCUCUAAUCUUUUACUUCUGGGAGAUGAAAGCUUUGGAGCUUCACCAGUGGCUACAUCUUUGCCCACAGACUUGCUUCCCAAGCUGUCCUUAUUUGAUCCCGCUGAAUUAAUUUGAAGUGCCUCCUCCAAUUUGCCAUCAUGCCUAAUAUCUGAGUUGACAGUUUUUGAGAAGGGCGUACCAGAUGUUGGUGAUUUCCUGCCAACACUCGAAGAUAUUGUAGCAGAGGAUCUCUGUGGGGUAUUCAAAGCAGCAGCCAGACUUGAAUAAUGGGCAUCAUUGUUAGAGAAAAGACGAUUAUUUGACUCAACCGGAUCACUUAUCAAAGAUGCAGGUUCCACCAGUUCACUUCUAGUCAUCUCCACUGAGCCUGCUGAUACGUGUGCUUCUGAAUUGUGGCCUGUCUUUUGUGAUUUGGAGUUACCACAAGAAACAUUCAUCUUCCUCUUUUCAUCUAAUAUAGUACUUUGCUCUUCAGGACGUAACACAGUUCCUUUGGGAGUUCUAAAACAAUUAUUAUCAGUUCCAUCCUUCAAUUUCCCCGUCAUGGAGGAGAUGUCAAAACCAUAACUCACAUUGUAAUUACCUGUGCUUACUGUUGGAGUAGUGCCCAAGUUGUCUGCCAUUCCCCCCAAGUACAUUGUCUUCCUAGAGUAACUUUUGGGGCUUAAUUUUCUUGCAUCAGAAUGGGGAGACCUCUCAUUUCUAGAAGUACUAGCCAAGUCAUUUCCAACUGUUACAGGAACUGCUGU
rnacentral:lncRNA from 1 species